CAAGGGAGGGUGAGCAAGGGCAGAGGAUGAGGCAGUGACCCGUAACAGCACUACCGGUUCUCCACUAAGUAAGGUCAGACGUGCCAAGAUGCCAUCUCGCCACGGGAAGCCAAAAGCUGGAUUCGUGAUGUGCUGGAGUGUUGGAAAUUCUGGUGUUGAGUGAGAGGCUCCGCUGUGAAUGAGCGACCGAUUAACAGCAAGUGCCACCCACGCAGCCAUCUGGAAUAGCGCUCAUUUCCAGGAUCUCGAUAAAGGCAGCCAGUAUCAUCAGCGAUAACCGUAAAGACUCCUGUGUUAUCACGGUGGUGGUGUACACGCAGCCCGUCGCGCAUGCGUGGAGCGGCUGGAGGCUGUGGCUGCUCGACCGUUUGUUUUGGAGCAGAAGAGAACGUUGCCUUGCAGUGAGAACACGAGGGUUGUGGAUUCUGUGUUUUUGCCUUGUGAGAGUGAUAUCCAGGCGUCGGCCGUGGAUUAUUUCAGUGACUCAUAGUACCUCUGGAUCUAUUGUGGAUAUACAUAAAGAGAAGAGGAGUCCCAGCGCCCCUGGAGAGCAGUAAAGACUGCCGGGACGUGCGGGCCGUGGGGACUUCGAAGCUCAUACCGGUCCGCUACACUCACCUCGCGCCGCCUGUGGUCCGCCCAGACCUGCAGGGACGCGGCGGGCGGGGAGAGCGAGGCAGCGGAGACAGGGA